AAGCGCGAUUCAUCAAAUCGUGCUGAUUACGU
rnacentral:rRNA from 1 species